CCAUCAUACCCAUACAUAUGCGUCAACAAGAACUCAUAGUCUACUUUGACAUGCAGGCGACCUAGUCGCUUUGGUAAGCACAACCCACCUGUAAGCGCGUUUCGAUUGCUUGUAGUCACUUGCUAUCGGCCGUCCGCAGCAGCCGCUAUCCGACUCGGCCCGAACUCACAAUUGCGCACCACCCGUGCACCGCUUCGCAGCCCCGGAAAUUAUAGAUCUUCGGUUAUGUGCUACGGUGCUCGGAAUCCAAUUUCAUAAUUUUCGGACGUUGCCUCGGCCCUCCAGGCGGAAACGAAGCUCCGAACGUCCGUUUUCUCUAUAACUUCGCGUAGGCUCGACGAAUCACCGAACCGACUUCGCCAACGCGUUCGUAUACCUAGCAAUUAGGUUUACGGAGGGUCAAUUGAGAUCAAACCCAACGAUUUACUAAAACCCUAUUUCGGAGCCCUAGUUUGCAACUACGGCAAAACCUACCGUUAAACCUCUAGAUUCUAGCAUUUAUCACCUAUUUAGCAUGCUAGGAUUCCAAAUAAACCAAUUCUAGAUAUUAAAGCCCUUGAUCUAGAAGGUUACCAUGGAUGUUGUAAUAUACCGAAAAUUUGGAAAAUAAAUAUCGAACUUUAGUCAAAUUGGCCAAAGUGCGAGGAUGGUACACUUCGGAAAGUCCGAAGGUGUUAAAAUGAGCAAAAGUGAAUUACGGGAGGUUUUCGAGAGCUAUAAAAUCAAAAUCUGCAUUCUGCAGUUUUGAGCUCUCGGAGACCGGUCCCUGGUGGGAGAGACCGGUCCCCGAACGCGUAUGAAAUGAGACAGCCGAAAAUCGGCUAAGUCCUGAGAAAUUAGCUCUCGGGAACUGGUCCCUGCCUGAGAGACCGGUCCCCGAGAGACCGGUCCCCCAAAGAGAGACUGGUUGCCCUACGCACAACAGCUCUGGCUGCGCGGAGAGAGCCUUCGGGAACCGGUCCCUGAAGGAGAGACCGGUCCCCGCCUGCGCGAACUGCCCAGUUCGGGCAGUGUAUUAAAGUGAAAGUUGAGGGGUUUAUUAGCAAUUAUGCAACCCAAUAGCUAUGUUAUGAGGGCUAAUGAGAUUUUCUCUCAUUCUCACCCUCUCAAACACUCUUUUCUCUCCCUCUCUCUCUCUAGAAGACAAAGGAGGAGAAGAAGACAAAGGAAAGGAAAGAAAAAGAAGAAGAAAGUGGAGAAGAAACUAUUGGAGUGAAGCCACUUCAUCUUCUUCCUCUCUAGAGCAAGGAAGGAGCAAGCUUAGAGGUAAGUUUUGCCCUAUCUCAUGUUAAAUUCCAAACUAGGGUUUGGAUUAGAGCAAGGAUGGUUUUUAUAGAACCUUUAGAGUAUUUGAAGCUUUCUUUUUGCUUCUUUAGAGAUCAAAGCCAUGGUUUAGCUUGAGGUGAGCUUUGGCCACCUCUAAUGGUGAAAUCCAAACUAGGGUUUGGAAUGAGCUAGGAAUGGUUUAGAUGAACUCUUUAGAGUAUAUUGAAGCUACUUUUGCUUCCCAAUGAGAUCAAACCCUAGGUUUGAUAUAUGUAUUGGAGCUAGGGUACCAAAUUGGGGCUUUUGCUCAUAGGAAUUUCUAAGUGCAAUUGACCCUCUAGAAAUCUAAUUGGGGGUAUUUCCGACGCGUUGGUGCGCUCGGAUUAACGUUACGAAAAGUCUAUAGAAAGAUAUGGGCAAAGUGGCCUAAGUUGGCUUCGUUCUGUCGCAGGUGAAGAACGAGGAGCCUAUAAAUCUCGAGAAAAUCAUCGGAGCAUCCUUGAAAGUCUACGAGGUGGGUGGUGCUUCUCAAACUCAUUGAACUUCUCUCUAUGCCUAAUGUGUCAUUCAUUUGAGCAUGUAUAUAUAUUGUUGCAUGCAUUUAGGGUAAAGUAAUGAUAGAAAAUGUAAUGAUGCAUGAUUGUGAGUACAACUUGCAUAAUAUGAUGAAUGAGAACUAUGUAAACGUCGAAAACCCUAUGUGUAUGCAUGAGAGAAAAGUGAGCACCCAAAGUGAGCAAAAGAACAGAGUGACACAAUGACAUAGAUCGAGUGGCAUUUGAUAAAGUUAAAGUGAAAUGACACUAGAGAUAGUGUGAGGUAAAGAACCAAUGUAAUGUAAAGAAUGAUGAAAAUGACAAUGCUUAAAGUUAAAGUAAUGUGGGGAGUAAAGAACAUGAAGUGCUAGAGGUAGCCAAAAGUAAAGAAUGUAAAGAAUAUAAUUGCUAGAGAUAGCAAGAGUAAAGAAUGGUAAAGAACAACGAUUGCUAGAGUGGCAACAAAAGUGCUGAAAGAACACUAGAGCUAGUGUAAAGUCAAGAUUGAACUUAUAAAUCCUUUGAGUUAAGGAUAUGAUCAUACUUGCUAUGAGUUCCGUGCUCGAGGGCGGUCGCUCCCCCUCGGGCGAUGCGCUCCGGAGUUAUGCAUCACGGGUUGGAGUAAACCCGAAGGACGGUCCUAGCGGGUGAGUUCCUGCGAUGAUGGACUUAAUGUGAAGCAAGUCAAUGUGGCGAUACCCCCGGGUUAGCCUUGAGAUUAAAGAACAAAGAGCAAAGAACAAAUGCAUAGAACAAAGAACAAAGAACAAAGAGUAAAGUGAAAAGAACAAAGAAUUUGCAUAAUCUGCAUUUAUUUAAUGUUGAGCAUAUUUCUGCUUUAUUGUUCAGGCAUAUUAGCAUCAUGUAUAGAUUGGUUACUAUAUGCAACUUAUUCUUUCUAUUAUGCCUGAGUUAGUCCUAGUGGAAAAGUCGGUGAUGUUGAGGCUGAACCCACUGGGAACUUUGUUGUAGUUCUCACCCCACUAUUUCCACAGAGCCGGGACCGAGCGAGCCGGCGAGCGACCGAGGUAAAGGUAUCGCGCCUUAGUCAGAGGCCACCAAAGUUGGGUUUCAUUUUGUAGUAAAGUACCCUAUGAUCAUCUUUUGUACAUGAUGGCAAAUGAUGUAAAGAAAAGAAUGUAAUGUGUAUUUUGAGGUAAAUGUGAUGUAAGAAAGAAAUGAUGAAAUGAAAUAUAAGGAAUUCGAAAAUGAACAAGAGGAAUGCAAUGUAUAUGAUCAAAAAUGAAUCAUAGUAUAAGUGAAUGUUUAGUUUUCCUUUCUUUCACUAAUGGCUAUUGCUUACCCUCGUGUAAGCCGUUUGUGUAUGUUUCCGCUAGUGCAUUUCUUGUUUGAAUUUGUACACGUGAUGAGCCUUGGGCGGAUAGAGGAAACUCUGUCCGUUCGGCGUCUGUUUGACGUGCUCGGGCCGGCCCAAAAUGGUAUCGGCUCCGGGGCGUGACAGAUAGCGUGGUAUCAGAGCCAAGAGUGAAAGAAUAGGAAUGGACCUAGAGACCUAUAGGAUUGGAAGACCUUAAGGAUCUAGGAAACGUGAGUGACGUGGAAUUAAAGUUAGCGAAAGCAUGUGAUUGGGUUAAGAUGGGACGUCUCUAAUGUGAUUAGAGGCUAAGAUUAAUUUUCAUUUGUUUCCUACUCCUUGUUUUGUGUCGGGCGGCCGACGACAUAAUGCUUGGGGCGAGAACAAAUGCAGGUUUGCUUUCGCCAGAUUGGGUGUGGUCGAGUAAUGUGGUCAAGUAGUUAACGUGUGUUGCUUCUUUUCAGGAAGCAAUGGCACCUCGUGGACGAUCGCAGACAAGGUUGAUGCCGGAGGAGCCGAACGUGGAGCCUGAGCGAUCCAGAGCGAGGGGCGACGGAGAGCUUAGGGAACAAAUGACCGCGCUUAUUGGCGUAGUGCGGCAGCAAGCGGAGUCUGUUCAACGCCAAGGGGAACAGAUUCAGCGGCUCCAGGAGACCUUGGAGCGCCAGCAGGCGGCGGCGGCCCAAGCGGGUGUCGAACGUGUCACACCCCCUGUGGUAGUGCCGAGCGUGGACGAGGGAGCGGCGGCAGCAGCGGCUGUUCCAGUUACGGUAGUACCGGCCGGAUCGGGAACCUCAAAUCCCGAUAGUGCGGCGGUAGUAGCGGAGCGAGAGCGCACGUUGGCGGCUCUCAUUCAGUUCAAGAAGUUCGACCCACCUACCUUCGAAGGCGGUUUGGUGGAGCCGGCGGUUGUGGAGUCGUGGAUCGACUCAAUGGAGACGCUCUUUGAGGACCUCAAUACCUCGGAGAAGGAUAAAGUGUAUCUUGCCACCCAUUGUCUUGAGAAAGCGGCGAAGGUGUGGUGGAAGCGAGUUAGGCGGGAUCGACCUACCGACCUCCCGCCUAUGAUGUGGGAAGAGUUCAAGAGAGCGGUGUUCGCAAACUACUUCCCCAACACGGUGAAGCGGAAGCUACAGGACAAGUUCCGCAAGUUGAGGCAGGGCGAUCGAUCGGUGGGGGAGUACGAGCAAGAGUUCUCCCACCUUAUUGAUUGCGUUCCCGACGUUGUUCGUGAUGAUCGGGACCGGGCGGAUUGGUUCUUGCGAGGACUCCAACCCCGGAUUUAUGAAAAGGUGCAAAUAUUGAAGCUGACGACCUUUGCGGAGAUCUUCGACAGAGCAUUGUGGGCGGAGCACGUGUCACGCCCCGGGACCCAGCGGAAGCCUGCCCGGCACGUGCCCAGACCUGCCAUACGUCUAAAACGUAUAAGGCGUCUAAAACAACAAUAAUAAAAGACAUCUAGAAGUAUCAGAGCAUAAUAAAUGUCUAAAUGCUACAACCAAGGAUAAGUAUAAACUGUAAAUCCACUAGAUAAGACAUAAAGUAAAUACAAUAGGCAAUCCCAAAUGCAAGUGCUAAAAGUAGGUACAUAGGUGGUCUCUAUACAUGGAUACAGAAAUCUCCCAACUAUAAAAAAGAAAGAGCAAACCACCUAGGCAAAGAACCGCUCCUCGCUAGCUAGCUAAGCGAUCCCCUUACCGCGAUCCCGUGCCUCCGCCGGUGCCGAAGGCUCUGAAAAGUAAACCACGAAAACAGGGGCAUGAGAACUAUUAAAAAUAGUUCCCAGUGGGCAAUUACUUACUUCAGUGAACUGCGCCACAAGGCCCAAAAGCUACAAGAAGAGGUCAGUGACUAACAAUGUAAUAAUAAAAAGGUAAGCAUAAAGUGACUUACUAUAACAUAGAGUCUCCACUUAGCAUGAUUGGCAUAAGUAAUAAAGCAACUAUCUCAUGAAUUAUUUUGCAGGAGAACAUUGGAUUGGUUGGCAGUCCUACGUUAUGUUGUUCAUACCCUCAGUCUUCAUGAGUAGUUGCUUUAUUAUUAUGCCAAUCUGCUAAGUGGAGCUAUAUGUUAUAGUAAGUCACUUUAUGCCUUACCUUUUUAUUAUUAACUGUUAUGUGCCAGUACUUUUCUUGUAGCUUUUGGGGGCUUGUGGCGCAGUUCAAAUGAAGUCGAUGUAAUUGCCCAUGGAACUUUUUAGUUAUAGUUCGCACACACGGUUUUCGUUGGUUACUUUUCAGGAGCUUCGCGACCGGCGGAGGCACGGGACGUCCGAUCGGCAACGCAGACAGGCAGGAGAGCAAUCGCUUACGGCUAGCUAGCGGAGCAUAUGAAGGCUAGGUUCUUUGCUAGGUGUUUUGUCUUUUUUUUUAUAGUUGGUCAAGAGAGUGAAGAAUUUACAUGUAUCCAUGUUAUAGAGACAACCUAUGGGACCUACUAUUAUAGCACUUGAUUUGGAUUGCUAUUGUAUUACUUUAUGUGCUUAUCGGUAGUGAUAUACAGUUUAUCUUAUCCUUGGUUUGUGAUUAGGAGAUUAAUUCAUGUACUGUGAUAUCCUAGCAUGUCUUUUAUGAUUGUUGUUUGAGUACGGCUUAUACGAUUUUAAGCGUAUGGCGGGUCUGUGGCAACGUCGGGCAGAGCUUACGCGGGGAUCCGGGGCCGCUGACAGGCGCAGACGACAGCGAUAAUUUGGGGGUAUCAGACUAGGGUUGAGGUUUAGGGGAUCCUAGCAACUUUAGGCCGGCUUGGAUGAUAAGGGUAAAUGAGGGUGGGUAGGAGAGACCGGAAGGGCGUCUAUUCGACUUGUGAGCGCAAAGAUAUGUAUGAUUGAGACGGGGGGGGAUAGUUAGUGAUAACUGUAAAGGUAAGAGAUAAUGAUUGCGAGCGUUUGGUUCUAACUUUCGCGGAGUGGUUACGUUCGCGGCGACACGUAAUCGGGAGGCCCAUUAGGUGGUGAAGAAACUUCUUUACUUCUUGCAGAUUUGGGGUUGUGUUUAGAGCGGGAUGCGGAGUAGCGUGAGUAUUUGGUAACUGUAGACGUUUAUGAUGUGACUGUCGGGACGAUGUCGAUUACUACCAGCUCCCAAUCUGCCGGCGGAAAAUGCGGCAAGACUUCGGAGUGAGGUUCGGGACCUCGCUACUCGUGAGGCCGCGAGGUCGGAUUGAGGGGGCCAGCUUGCGGCCCCCCCAUAGAUUUGGGUCACUUUCAGCAUGCGCGAGGCGGCCCGCAGCGACGGAGGCGCACGCGCGACAGGAGGCUGCGGAUGAAGCGUUUGGAGGAGGAUUAUUAUCUGCAGCAGGUGGCGGGGGGCUUCCAGUGGGAGCUCAAGCCCUACACGGGCAGGAGCAACAGUUGUGACGUAGGGUGCACCCUAGCAGGCAUCCCCACGCCCAGUUGCUUCGCGGUGCGGUGCUGCGGUCGCACCCAGGAGAGGUUUUGGCGGCACCACUGUGCAGAGGCUCGUGUUGGAGUGCUUUUCUACCUUUGGGGUAGGGGGGGGGCGGAAGCGAAGACAGACUGAUGGAGCGCCUCAAUGAGUUCAGGAGGUGCAGUCUCGAGUUUUUGACCAGGUGGGAAGGCAUCGACCACUGGGAUCAUGAGAAGUGGUGAGCACAUUGGAAAAGCUCAGUUCGCGGAACUUCGGUGGGAGGAGAUGUGAAGGGGCAGGGUGGGACUCGCCUCACCACUUGGACGGCGAGCUUACCGCUGCGGGGUAAUUGGAUUUUCACAGGAACAGCCUAGCAAUGAGGGAAGGCUUGGCAGCAUUACUUGGACGAGGUUCAAGAGCGUUCUAUCUGGCGCACUACUUCCAACGCAGCUGGAAGUCCAAGGACGGAGGAAGCGACUGGGGAGCAGGAUAGUUGGCAGCUUGGGAAACGUGACGCCAAGGCGACCGACCAGGGUGGCCGAGUCGAGAGGAGUUCUGCUCUGGCUUCCAACUGCAUGUGCGUGCCGCUUUCGAGUCGUGCGGGCGCGAGGACAGGCACCGGAUCUUCGAGCGAGGGUUGCGACCGUGAGGUCGUUUCGGUUUGUGCAAUCCUCAACUGCCAACACCUACGGGAGGUGGCUGAAGACGGGCGGCGGGAGGCGGGGCUCAUUCUAGAAUGCCGAAAGGGAGAGCGGCGCGACAAAUGAUGCCAGGAAGGCAGCGUGAGGCCGGCGACAGAGGGAGGCAGAGGCGUGCGGCUGAGAUGGUGGCAAAGCAGAACGAGAUAACAGCGGGUGAGAGCGCACUCUAAGCGAGACGCACAGGCUUCGAGGAGCCACAAGGCCAGAGCACGUGAGGCGUUGGGACGCUCCGGGAGCUCACCGAGGGAGGCUAUAAGCUUGACCGACGCAGAAUCGCGCAGGAAGCUGAAGGUGAUCUGUGGUGGGCCUCCCAUGUUCCCGGCAGUGCGCGCGGGGGAGGGAGGUGAGUUUCAGUGUGGCCAGAGAGAGGCACACGUUCGGAGCUGUGUGCGAGGGGAUCUUCCCUGAAGGUGGGCCACCGAUCAGCUGGAUCCGGCAUGCGCAUCUACAGCGCCGGGCCAGGGGACUCCGAGUCAGGGGAAGACAGUACCACCUGAGCAGCGGCUUCAGCCGAAAUGAUCCAGCGGACAGAGAGCGAGGUCGAUCGACGACAGGAAGGAAUAGGCCCGCUGGCUGGGGGGGGGCAUGUACGGGCUCUAGACUGAGGCGGCAGGAGGCCACAAGGGCCGCCAAAGGGGAGCGGCAGGGAAGGCGGCAGCGAGCCGGCGGAGGAUGGUGUGUUGCAGGGUAUCAAUUUUAUUGAUGGAUUGAGUUUCUGCUUUAUUUGAUACGGGAGCGAUCAUGAGCGCAUCGCAUUUCAUUUACUAGAUCGAUGAUUUGCCGGUUGCUGGCAUCCACGUUGGUUUUUGUUGCAUACGGGGAAUGUGUGUUGUACCCGACCCUGUUUUGGAUAUUAGAGAGUAUAGCCCCUAGUUCCCUAUCGGGUAGGAGAUUGGAUUAUACUAUAGAUUUGCUAGCUAUUGCGGCAGUAGGAUUUUGAUGUGGUCUUGGCAUGGAGUGGUUGACAUAUUAUGCCACGAUAGGAUUGCUAAAGAAAUCGCACCGGUUACUUUUAGAACCGGGGCAAAACUGAAAGGUGAUAUUUAAGUGGAUGCCGGGUUAGCUGCUUGGUGAUUAAGAUUAGUGUCUCGAGAUAGCAGCUGAAUUCUGCAGAGGUUGCGUAGCCUAUUUGGCUAGUGUUGGAUGGCUGAGGGGCGGACGGGGGGAUGUAACCCUAGGAUCGAGGAUAUGUCCGGACUGGGCGGGAGUUUAGGGAUGGGUUUCAGCUGAGCUACGGGCAUGCCUCCAAUCAUGUAGGGAGAUUGAGUGUGGUGUGUGUAGAUUUCUCGGUCCCUGCGGACGACCCCAAUCUCAAAGGGCCCCAUAGGGUACGGGCACGGGCAGGAGGUAGGAGGCUAGGGCACGAGCUGCAGGAUUUGUUGGACAAACGGCUUUAGUGUCGGGACGAGCGUCUCGCCUUGGGAGCAUCAGUUUUGUUCGCAGAAGAAGACGCGAUCGCUGCGCAGUUUGGUGGAUUAUCGUGUCAACAAAGUCACGAUCAAGGGGAAGUAUCGUUACUGAGAGGCGGCAGACCAUGCGACGAGGUUGGUUGCAUAAACUUCAGAGAUGGGGGUGGUGUUAUGCCCCGAUAGAGCUUACAGGGUGCACGGAUACCCCGUGAAGAUCAAUCCCGAGGAUGAUCUCGAAGACGGCUUUUUAGAACACGGUUGGACAUUAUGGAGGUUCACAGUUUAUGCCGUUUCGCGGCUUACUAUGCGGGCCCGAGCUUUAGGCGAUGGGAAUGAACGUGUUUCAAGCAUUAUCUAGAUAGGUUCGUCGUCGGGGUGAACAUUCAUCGGGCAGGACGUAUUUUUGAGUCUACUCUCGAAGUGAUGUGGAUCCUGAGGAGCAUGUUGAGGGGAUUGUACUCAGUACUGUCGAGAAAGGAGCUUGAUUGACAAGUUGAAAAUGUGAUUUUUAUCAAGGCGCGGAGAGGAACUGCCUUCCUUGGACAUUUGAUUUCUCGGAAUGGGUAUAGCGUGCGGAUCCUAAGAAGAUUAAAGCAAUGCAAGAUGGGCUGAGACCGCACGAGCGUCACGGAGAUACGGAGCUCCUUGAUUGGCCGGUUACUACCGGAGAUUUUAUAGAGGGCGUUUGUAAACUGUCUAACUCUCCACGAGGCUCACGCACACAGGAGUUAAGUUCAUUGAGAAUUAGCUAGUGCGAGGAGCGGAAGUUCAAGAGUUGUUGAAGCAGAGUGAUUGACGACCGCGCCCGAACUCUGACCUUACCAGUAGCUGGGAGCCGUCCGGUGAUGUCGGUUUAUGUGAACGCUUUCACUGAAUGGAUUGGCUGGGUGGAUUGAAAGUGACGCACGAUGCAGAAGGGGAUGGUAUGCUUUUCUCGCCACUAAAGGAUGUAAUGGAGAGAAAGAUAUCCACCGACGCCAUGAUUGGAGUUGCGCCAAGCACGCGAUAGUGUUCGCAUGAGCACGGGGUAUGGCGCCACUACCUUGGUAUGGGCGUAGCGGGGCGCCCACAGGCAAGGAGGCCAAGUCGUAGAGAGUAUCAACAUACCAGAUAAGAGUUAAAUGAAGCCAGUAGCUGUUUAAUGUUAGAGCGAGUUGAACUUGAGAGCAGCGAGGGAAUGUGUCAUGGAGCUGCUGAAGGAUUAUGAGGUCUGACGAUGGCUUUUACCACACCGGGCAAGGCUACAGUGACGUGGCGGUAUGCUGUGAGUAGGAAAUCGAUGGAAAACUUAGCGAAACUGAUACUGUUUGUAAAGUCAACCGCCAGGGGGGUUUGAAUCAGCAUGAUGAGCGGUUGGAGUUGGAGGGUGAGUUGAACUCCUGACCGCCUAUGGGAGUUGGAUAGGCAAUUGCGUGUGGUGCAACUUAAUUGUUGGAUAGAUAAAGAAAGCAAGCUUGAUGGGAGUUGCAAAGAUUUCGAGAUAAAUGUGUGGAGGAGAGCGAAGAGCCACGACUGGAUGAGUUGACGCGGUGACUUCAUUUGGACGAUCAGGAUUGAUGGUUUCGUGGGCGGAGUUGUAUAACCCGCGGCAUUCGGGGAUUAAGAUAAUAUUCUUCAAGAACGCACCGAGCGGCCGUAGCUAUAAUCCGGGAGGGCACAAAUGUACAAGGAUGAAAGUUGCUUUAUUGGUGGCCCGGGUAUGAAAAAUGACGUUUGCGAGUUUGUGGCUCGUGUCUAACUUGCCAAAGUAAAAGUCUGCAGCACCGAGUUCCGCGGGGGAAACUUCAGAGUUACUAUUCCAGUGUGGGAGGGGGAGGAUCACAUGGCGAUUUUUGUGACAUGGAUUGCCCGUCACAUGGCGGGGCAUGACUGCGUAUUUGGGUGAUCGUGGAUAGGUGACGAAGUCGACGACUUCAUACUUAUGUGCAUCGCUUGGACCGGAGAGAAGCUGCACAAGUGUACCUUUGAUGAGAUUGUGCGACUUCAUGGAAGUGCCGUACAUCGAUUGUAUCUGAUCGCGACACGGCUUCGUGUCUCACUUUUGAAGGAGUUAAGGACGCCGCGUAGGCACUCGACUGGGAUUCAGCACAGAAUUCACCAGCAGAUGGAUGGCAAAGUCGGAGCGCCUAUUCAGAACCUUAGAGAUAUUGCUCCGAGCAUGCGUGAUAGACUUUCAGGAGGAUGGUCGCAACUCCUGACUAUGGCGGGAGUUUGUUCUAUAACAAGAGAUUAGUCAAGAACUAGAGCAUCAGAGAUUGGAGCCCUUGAAGAACUAUCAUGGGACGGAAGUUAGAAUAGCCAUUCAGUUGGAGUGGAAUCGGCGAGAUAUUGGGCUUUGGCCCUUGAUGUUGGCUCAGGAAGCUGGAGGGGACACAGGUGAGUCGAAUUGCAUCAGGGGAGCGACUUAUUGACGAGGAGCGAGAGAAGAAAGAAUAGACAGAUGAGAUAAAGGCGAUCGACUGGACGGCGAGCGUGCGCAGUUCCAAAGUUGGGAGACCAUGUUUCUUGAGGUCUCUGACCGACAGAGGAAUUCAAGAGGAUGGUGAGGAGUUCGGGGAGCUGCACGGGGGGGGGAGAGUCCCUUGUACUUCAAUUGCGACCGAUAUGAGAUUUAGAGGUGUCGAGGUCGGAGAGCGUAUCGACUGCGUUUACCACCGCAGACCUAUCGGGCAUUGCACAACGUCUUUCACGUAGUCCGGCUCCUUCGGAGGUACAUUCAUGAUCACUCAGGUUGGAAGCGCGUACAGUGACUGCGCGGAGGAUUUUGAGCUUCGAGGAGCAACCAGUGAAGGAUUUGGCUCGCAAAAUGAAGUUAGCUGCGGAAUCGGGCGUAUUCCGUAUGUGAAGGGUUCUUUGGAAGCAACCUACGGGGAGCGGAGAGGCACGUGGAGCUAGAGAGUCCGUUGCAAGGAGCGCUACCCAUCUGGGUUUUCAGAGGGGCUUUGAGGUAGGCGCGUUGCUAUUUCGCCAGUUUCGCGCGAAACUCCGUUUUUAGGAGGGGGUGAAAUGGAUAGCACAUGGACCUUUGCAAAUUGCCGAGGUUCGAGUUUCGAUUUGUAUUCCGCUUUCCACAACUUGGUGGAGGGGUCGAAUGGGAUCGUCUAAAAGUUCGAUCGCUGAGAGGUUUGCAGAGUCCGGAGGUGUUUUACUCUCGGGAGACCGGUCCCUGAUAGGAGAGACGGUCCACAAGUGAACGCAGUGCGCAGUGGCCGCGAGAGCAACCGGUCGCCUGGCAGUUGAGACCGGUCCCCUGAGAGGCGUCUACCGCGGGUGAGAGACCGUCCGCGCGCAGGGGAAAGACCGGAUUCCGGAACGUUGGUUGUUUGUCCAUAGCGGGGGAGGACCUGAGAGGUACAGGGUCCAGGUCGGAGGGGGACGCGUCCCUCUGGGCGAAAUGCCCAGACCUAAGCGGGGCUAAUGAAUUUGGAGUUUAGUUUGAGGGCCUGAUGUGGAUUUGUUACUUUAGAGGUAUAAGCCAGCCCUGUGCUGCUCACCUCUCACUCUCAUUUUCGCUCCUCACACCUCUAUACUACACUGUCUAGAGAGAGAAAGGGAAGAGAAGAGGAGAAUGAGAAGGAGAAGAGCUUGAUUGGAGGCUUGUGAGCGCAUCUUCUUUCCUCUUCACCUUUGGAGAGUUGGAGCUUGCGUUGGGAAGCUUGUGGAGGUCUAGAACUUAACCCUACUUCGGUUUUGAGCUUUGGAUUGGGGUGCUUUUGAGGUUUGUAGACUUGUAAUCCCAAAUUUGUUACAUGCUUUCCUAGGUGUUUACUAAAUGAACCUAGGAUUUUGGGGAAAUUUAGGGUUUAUUUUUUGGCGGUUUUUGAUUUGGCGGGCUUUGGAAUCCAAUUGAAUUGAUGGGUUCAUAGAGACCUCUUGGUUUUAGGUUAGAUUGCGAAGGACACUCAACUCCAUUUGGAGAUCUGUGAGGAGCUGCUUCGCAAUCGGUAAGUUUUCUCCAACGUACAGCUUGAGGAGGGCAGGCUUAAUGAGGUGAGCUAUUUUGCGUUAGUUUCGUUUGGGUGCCCUAUUUUUGAUGUUUCUAGGGUACUAGGAGCUGGGUUGGAUACCUUCGUUUCGGCCGAACGAAGAAGUUGAUUUUGGUGGUUUGAUUCAUUGGAAAUAGGGCAAAAUGGCCCCUUGCCUGUCUAAACUUUUGUUAAAAUAUUUUGAUGAAAUUCAUCUAAUAUAUGACUCAUCGUUGUUGAAUUUUAAACACUUAUAUGCAUGGGCCUAUAGAUCGUAAAUUUGCACAUCCAUAUAGUGCUAUAUGUGUGUUGCAUGAAUUGUGAAUAGUGCUUGGUUUUACCAAGUUGAGAACAUGUCUCCAUGCUAGAGUGAUGGAAUUACAGCGUCAUGAAAAUUAAUGCCAAUGCUUGGAGACUCGCUCUGAACCAAUUAAGUGUCAUCAAGGGGCACUUGAAAAGAGUAAAACUAUUAUAAAUACACCUAGGCGUGACGUAGGUAAACGGCACUAGGUAUAUCUGCCUACCUCCGCAAUGUUAGACAUCAUGUGAAUAGAGAUAGGCGCAUUGAGGAUACUUGAUAGGUAUUCCAUGUUGUAUAGACAUGAGGACUUGCGCUCUUGAGACGUGGAUCUUUGUUGCCUUGAUUUUACGCAUUUUGUGCUCAUGCGCACAUGGCUUUGAGGGUCGCUCCUGUUACAAGCCGGCACUCCGGAGGAUAGCCAUUCGCGGACAAUUGACUCGCGGUGCGGGAUUGAGGCGCGAAGGUGGUUCGGGCGGGAGGCUCAUCCCUGAGUGGGGAUGUUGAAUACACAGGGCCAGUUAGGGCACGGGCAGGCCAACAGCCUUCAGGUGGGGUCUGGAUAUGAUUGGGAUUAGUGAACGGAACGUGCUUUGUGAACUCUAAACUAUAAAGUGGACUUGGACUAGAAAAGUAAAACAAUGACAUCCCUACUAUUUGGGAUUGAGAAAAUUGGAUUGGUUGAUUCCUACGCUUGAUGCAUGUGAUACCCAUCCAUGUAUAUNNNNNNNNNNNNNNNNNNNNNNNNNNNNNNNNNNNNNNNNNNNNNNNNNNNNNNNNNNNNNNNNNNNNNNNNNNNNNNNNNNNNNNNNNNNNNNNNNNNNUAGCAACCUCCACUGAGCUCCUGCAGUCAUGCUGGGUUCAAAUAGAUAGGAUCAAGAUGUGAAAUUACCAAUUUAGCCCUGCUGCCACGUUUCUGCCAUUGUGUACCGAUACACAAUGAUGGCUGUACCAGUACACCAAGCAGAAAAAUACUGAUUCCGCUAGAUCAAACCACUUUCUUGCUUUUGGCCAUCCAAUCAUUCUCUAACUUGUCCAAAAAUUUGUCCAAGCCUUUUAGAACAUAUACGAUAGAUCCACAUAUCAAUCCUCACACUCGAAUUUCGCAAUUUGCAAAAGUUCAGUGUAUUACAUUCACCCCUCCUAAAAAGAAGUUUCGUCCGCGAAACUUGUAAAUACUUAUCUCAAGAUUCUGUCGAGAAAAGAUAGGGAUAGUGCUCUUGCAUUGCAUUCUCCAGUUCCCAAGUGGCUUCCCGUUCAUCGUGAUUGCUCCAAAGUAUUUUCACAUAGGGUAUUUUGCGGUUUCGAAGCCGUUUCACCUCUCGAGCUAGUAUUCUCACUGGAUGCUCCUCAAAGCUCAAAUCUUCUCGUAAAUCCACCGGAGUACUUUCCAAUAUGUGGGUUGGAUAAAAAACAUAUUUUUGAAGUGUGGACACAUGAAAUACAUUAUGCACUCCCGAUAGGUUCGGCGGCAAAGCAAGCCGAUACGCUACGGGACCUAUCCGUUCCAACACCUCGUAGGGUCCAAUAAAUCGAGGACUUAACUUCCCUCAAAUACCAAAUCUCUUAACCCCCUUUGUCGGUGAAACUUUCAGGAAUACAUGAUCGCCAACUUGAAAUUUCAGUUCUCGCCGACGUUUAUCCGCAUAGCUCCUUUGUCGACUUUGAGCUGUCAGUAAAUGUUCCCGUGCAAGUCGAACUUUAGCUUCGGCUUCCUGUAACACAUCUGGACCCAAGACUAGUCUUUCCCCCACUUCACUCCAAUGAAGUGGUGAUCUGCACUUUCUACCAUAAAGGGCUUCAAAUGGUGCCAUCUAAAUGCUUGCUUGAUAACUAUUGUUAUAAGCAAAUUCUGCCAUCGGUAGGAACUGUGGCCAACUGCCCUGAAAAUCAAUCACACAGGCCCACAACAUAUCUUCAAGGGUUUGGAUGGUACGCUCGAACCGCCCGUCACUUUGGGGGUAGAAAGCAGUACUAAAAUCUAAUCGGGUACCCAUGGCCUCCUGUAAGCUCCUCCAAAAAUGCGAUACGAAUCGAGUGUCUCGAUCUGAAACAAUAGAAGCAGGUACUCCGUGUAAUCGCAUAAUUUCAUCUAAGUACACUUGUGCGAUUCUCUCCCCCGACCAAACUGUAUGGAUUGGAAUAAAGUGGGCAGAUUUGGUCAAUCUAUCCACAAUUACCCAAAUGGCAUCGUGACCUGCUUGUGAGCUGGGAAAUCCAACAAUAAAAUCCAUAGUAAUCCUCUCCCAUUUCCACACUAAUAUGGGUAGGCUCUGAAGUUUUCCUGCAGGAAGUCGAUGUUCAGCUUUAACCUGCUGACAGGUUAAGCAUUUAGCCACAAAAUCUGCAACUUCCUUUUUCAUUCAAGGCCACCAGUAAGUCAACUUCAAAUCUUUAUACAUUUUCGUACUUCCAGGAUGCAAAGUAUACUGUGCCCGAUGUGCUUCUGUUAAAAUCUCCUCUUUAAUACCAGAAUCUGCCGGUACACAAAUUCUAUCACUGAAUUUUAACAAUCCCUGAUCAUCCACUCGAAAGUCACUAACAUGAUCAGCAGUGAUCCUUGCUCGAAUCUUUUGCAGAAAUUCAUCAUGUGCCUGCUUUUCCUUAAUUCGAUCGAUCAGGGUAGGUUGCACCACCAAUGACAUAAGUCGCCAAGGCGUGUCAGGAGCUACAACUUUCAAAUUCAACUGUUCCAUUUCCUUUACCAACAAUGGUUGCAUAGUUAUUGACAUCGCUAAAUUUACCGUCGAUUUCCGACUUAAAGCAUCUGCUAUGACAUUAGCUUUUCCUGGAUGAUAGAGGAUAGUCAAAUCAUAAUCCUUGAGCAACUCCAACCAUCUACGUUGUCUCAAGUUUAAUUCCUUUUGAGUAAACAGAUACUUUAAGCUUUUAUGAUCUGUGUAAAUCUCACAAUGUUCGCCGUAGAGGUAGUGGCGCCAAAGCUUCAAAACAAAGACAACAGCAGCCAAUUUAAGAUCAUGUGUAGGGUAGUUCUUUUCAUAAUCCUUUAAUUGGCGAGAUGCAUAAGCAAUUACUCUGCCAUUCUGCAUUAGAACACACCCUAAUCCAUUUAGCGACGCAUCACUGUAAAUCACAUAAUCCAUUCCAGUAACCGGUAAUGCUAGAAUCGGGGCAGUAGUCAACCGUUCCUUUAGCUCUUGAAAGCUUCUUUCGCAGGUUUCAUUCCACAGGAAUUUAGCUCCUUUAUGUGUAAGUCGAGUGAGAGGCGUAGACAUAUUCGCGAACCCUUCAACAAAUCUUCGGUAGUAUCCCGCCAAGUCAAGGAACCUCCGAAUCUCUGUAACAUUGGUCGGCCUAGGCCAAUCUUUAAUCGCUUCGAUCUUCUUUGGAUCCACAGCUAUCCCAGCCUCUGAAAUGACAUGUCUCAGAAAUGCUACUUCUCGAAGCCAAAAUUCUCAUUUCUUUAAUUUUGCAAACAGUUUUUUUUCUCGAGGUACUUGUAACACCACUCUUAAAUGGUUUUCAUGCUCCUCAUCACUUCGAGAAUAUAUCAAGAUAUCGUCAAUAAACACGACCACAAUCCUGUCCAAAUAGGGUUUAAAGACACGGUUCAUUAAAUCCAUAAAGGCUGCUGGGGCAUUUGUCAAUCCAAAUGGCAUAACUGUAAAUUCAUAAUGCCCAUAUCCUGCCCUAAAAGCGGUAUUGGAAACAUCUUCCGGCUUGAUCUUAUGCUGAUGAUAACCUGAUUGCAAAUCAAUCUUGGAAUACACUUUCGAUCCUUGCAGCUGAUCGAAUAAAUCAUCGAUUCUGGGUAAUGGAUAUUUAUUCUUGAUUGUGACUUUGUUGAUUUCUCGAUAAUCCACGCACAAUUGAAGAGAUCCAUCUUUCUUUUUCACAAAUAAAAACAGUGCUCCCCAAGGCGACACACUCGGUCGAAUGAAGCCUUUAUCCAAUAAAUCUUGUAACUGUGCCUUCAGUUCUUUCAAUUCAGCGGGUGCCAUCCUAUAGGGUGCUUUUGAGAUUGGGGUAGUCCCAGGGACAAGAUCUAUCACAAACUCAACUUCCCUAUCAGGUGGCAUACUAGGCAACUCAGCUGGAAACACAUCCCCGAACUCCCGCACAACCGGAAUAUCAUCAAUCUUGGCGGCUUCUCCUUCGCUCACAGAAAUACUAGUCAAAUAGGCUACACAACCUCUCCGAAUCAACUGUCGUGCUCGCGAAGGGCUAAUAGUCAUUGCGAACAAUGAACUCUGGCACCCCUUAUAAACAAACUCCUGCUGACCCGGUUCCCUAAAGGUCACCGUUCUAUUCGUGCAAUCAAUGGUCGCAUAAUACUGUGUUAGCCAAUCCAUACCCAACAAUACUAUAUCAAACUCGCCUAGUUUGUGUAGUGCCAAAAGAUCCACUGGCAUAAUCCAGUCGCCUACCCUAACUGGGCAGCGAGGGCAAAACUCACAAACAUCUAGGGUAUGGUUGGGCACGAUCACUCGUCCCGGAUGCAAAGUAUGUACUAACUGAAUGCUAUGCAGCUUGGCGAACUGCCGAUCAAUAAAAGAAUGCGAGGCACCAGUAUCAAAUAAAGUACGAACACGAACAUCAUAAAUUAUAAUAAUACCUGCUACGACCUCCUCUGCUGUUGUGGCCUCCUCUGUCUGGGCAGCGUACAUACGCACACUCGAACCCUGCCGAGGACUCUCAGACUGCCGGUGUCCCGGUGGUCAUCUGUACUGAGAGGGUGCUGUCGGGGUCCCCUGACCCGGAGCUGACGGUGCAGGUGCAGAUGAUGAUGAUGGGGCAGGCGAAGAACCUCUCGGGCACUCUGAGCGAAAGUGGCCCUCCUGACCGCAGAGAAAACACCUGCCCCCACGUUAUGGACACUGUGGCGGAAAGUGAGGCCCGCCACAAAUGACACAACGUGGCUGUCGACGACGCUCAGGUGCUCUGCGGGGUGCUGAAGAACCUCGACCCCUCGACUGGCCCGACUGGCCUCUCGGAUACUUCGGCGGUCUCCUGAAGGAUUGCUGACCACUGUUCUCAGCUGUUGGUCUUUUCCCUUUACUUCGAUCCACAAUAUCUAUUUCCUUCAUAAUUUCUGCCUCUUUUUUCACAAUCAAGGCUCGAUUCACCACUUCCCUGUAAGUAGAAAGGUUUGACGCCUGGACCAAUCUGAAAAUCGCAAGCCGUAAACCCACCUCAAAAAUACGGGCCUUAUCCUCAUCAUCUCGAACCACAAAAGGAAUACAGUGCAGUAAUCGGGAGAACUCUCGCUCAUGCUCUGCUACUGUCCUGUCCCCUUACCUCAGGUUUCUCAGAUCCCUUUCCAUCUGCCUCCUCACACUCUGUGGAAAAUAGGUUGUCAAUAGUAAUUCCUUGAACCUCGUCCAGGUAAUCGCUGGCAAAUCCACACGGGGGUCCUCAUGGAUAUCUACCCACCACCUGUAAUCCUCGCCAUCGAGGUGGUGUGUCGCAAACCAAACUCUGUAUCGCUCCUCAACAAAAGUAUCAUAGAAUAGUUUCUCCAUGUGCAUCAGCCAUUUUUCGACCACCGAGUGAUCUGCUUUUUCCCCGUCUAAGAUACGAGGGUUACAACGACGGAAUUCAUUCAGUCGUUCCAUCAUCCGCUCUCGCUCCUCAACCCCCACCAUCUCUGGUAACACUGUCCCUGUCGCUACCACAUGCACUGGUGGUAGUACUACUGUCUCCUGUCGGGUCUCUACACUCAGAGCUACUGGCGAGGUAUCUGGUACCGGUGACUAUGCUCUCACUGUCGCAUCCCUGUCUGGUACUGUAGGCACAGGAUCAGGAAUCUCUCUGUCGGUCGUCUGCCGCAGUAGUAAAUCCUCUAACCUUCUCAUUCUGUCAUCCUGUCGACGCGCAGUAUCCAUCUGUUGUCGCGCUGCCGCAGCCUGCUGAGUCACUAGAUCAGUCAACAUCGCAAGUUGAUCCUGCAACUCAUGGAUCCCACUAGAUCCGGAAGUAACGGAGGUCUCCACUUCCUCCGCAUCAGCCGCCUCAGCCGCCUCGGCGGUCCUCGAACGAGUCAAAGGCAUCUUAAGCUGCAGCACAAAAACAAACAUAGAUUAAUAAAACCUAUACUAUUAAAUCUUUACUUCAGAUAUAAGCCAACUAAUCAAGCGAAAGUAAUGAAAUGUAACGCAUACUAACUUCCGAUGUCACGUUGUCGGCCGCCAACGUGGCCCUCUGCAAAGUUAGUAAUUGCACAUUCCGAUCAAACUCCUACCAUUCGGAGUUUAUAAAUUACCCAAUCAAAGUACUUUCGCUGACAACAAACUCGACUAGACCUCGUCACUCACGAGCCUAUCCUUAUGGUCCAACCAGCCUAAGGUUUACUAGGUCUACUAAUACUCAACCGUAGGCUCUGAUACCACUAUAAUUUGUCACGCCCGGGUACCAACGGAAGCAUAUCUGGUACGUGCACAGACCCGCCAUACACCUGUAGUAUAUAAGGCGUCUAAAAAGAAGCAAGUCGAUAGGAAGAAAACAUAGAAAAUCUUAUCUUGAUAUCAGAGCAGCGUACAAGUCGAUAAACUAUCAACAGUAGGACAAAGAGAACUCAAACCAAAAUCUCACAUCAAAGAGAAGUAUCACAACUAUAGUUCCCGGUCCAAACAGUAAUAUACAUCACGGGGUAUACAAAAGUAGAUACAAUGGUAGUCUCUCUAUACACUGGGACAUCACCCUCGGCCGUAGCCCGAGUAGCAAGGUGAUCGACUAGCAAGCUCCUAGCAAUGUCUAGCUAGACGCGACUCCCUUGCCACGAUCCCUAGCCUCUCUUGUAANAUAUUGUUUGAUACCUUCCUUAUGCAAUCGUUGUUGAAAAUUGUUCCUGUUUGGAACCUCUUGUACUUGUAUUGAUUGCGACGCCUUGAACGUACAGGGGAGACUCUGUCCGCGUGCAAGGAAAAUCCUGUUCGUUCGGGGGUCUGUUGGCGUGCCCGAAUCAGACCAAAUAGGCGGGCUCGGGGCGUGACACUGCCUGCCCGCUGUGGACAUUGCAGUGGAAAGUGAGGACCACCGCAUAUCACACACUGGGGAGGCCGAUGUCGGUCGGAUCCUCCUCGCUGCGCUGCCGAGCCGCGCCCAUGCUGCUGGCUCCUAGGGUGCUUCGGUGGCCUCCUAAAGUGUGUCUGACUCGAACCCUCCGCCGCGGGCCUUUUUCCCUUAUCCUUGUCCACCCCUUCUCGCCGUUCCUGAACAUCCGCCGCGCUGCUCUCCACUAUGAGCGCGCGGUUCACCACCUCCAGGUAGGUUUGGAGGUUAGAAGAUUGCACAAAUCGGAAGAUAGACGGUAGCAAUCCUCGCUCGAAGAUGCGGGCCUUGUCCUCGUCGUCCCGCACAACGAAAGACACGCAAUACAGAAGCCGAGAAAACUCCCUCUCGAACUCGGCUACAGUCCGGUCUCCCUGGCGCAAGUUGCGCAAGUCCUGCUCCAUCUUCCUUUUGACAAUGUCGGGGAAGUAGUGCGCCAGUAGAAGUUCCUUGAACUUUUUCUAAGAGAUAGCCGCCAAAUCCGUGCUGGGGUUCUCCUGAAUGUCCAGCCACCAGCGGUAGGCCUCGUCGUCCAAAUGGUGUGUAGCGAGCCAAACUCGAUCCCUCUCCUCCACGAAGGUGUCGCGGAAGAGCUUCUCCAUGUGCAUCAACCACUUCUCCACGAUCCAGUGGUCGACCUUCUCUCCAUCGAAGAUCCGAGGACUGCACCUCUUGAACUCGUUGAGGCACUCCAUCAGUCGGUCCCGCUCCUCUCCAACAGCUGUCACGGGAAAUGCCGCCCCCGCCAGAGGCACCUGCACGGGUGGUGCCACCAACUCCUCUCCCUGCAGUGCAACCGCAGGUGUGGAGCGCGAUGUGUCGAGAACGGGGGACGACCAUCAAAUCUUGUACCGGUACACAGCUUGGCUGAGGAUAACCCGAGAGCAGGACCAACAAUCCACCCUUUUGGAUUUUGGUGCCAAGUUCAAACCUCAAUUCUCGGGAUAUGAGCCAUAGGUCGGAACUGUUAUGCCCCGGGACUGGCAGAGGCCCUCCCGGUAGCGUGCCCAGACCCGCCAUAUGUCAACACAUAUAAGGCGUCUACAUCAACAGCGAAAAUAAAAACAAGAAAUAGGACAAAUAGAAUAAUAACAACUAAUGAUAUCAGAGCGAGUAAAGUUCUAUCAUCUAAACCAGAGUAAAAGAAACAUAACUGCACAACAAAAGUAACCAUGAAGUAGUAUAAAAUCUGUCUCAAAGGUACAUAAAAGGGUGGUCUCUAGUACACUGGUACAGCUCUCAACCUCUCCAAAAUGAAAUACAUCGAGAGGUAGACCACCUAAAACUCGUCACUCGCUGAAGGGCUAACUCGAAGCAACGCCCUUCCCACAGUCCCUAGCCUCUUCCGGCGUGGAAGGCUCUGAAAGAAAACAUAAAAUAGAGGGCGUGAGAACUAUAAUUUAUAGUUCCCAGUGGGCAAUUACUGACCUCAGCUCAAUGCACCACUAGGCCCAAAAAAAAAAAGGGUAAGUAACGGCAGUAAUAAUAGGCAAUAAAAAGCGAGUAUAAGAACUGCUGAAAGAAAGCAUAAAUGAAAUGCUAUACUACUAUGUCUCAAGUAAGCAUGAUGUCAUGGUGAUGUACAUCUACGCUAUCAUAAGUUAAUAAGUCCAAUGCAUACUAUUAUGCCUCAACAGAAUAAACAAGUAAACCUCACGAUGCAAUAUGUCAAUGCAUAAGGAGUAAUCUCUAUCAAAGCAACCCAGUAUACUAUGAUGCAAUGAAUAGAACAGGCAAGUAUACUAUAUAUCCCAAUGCUAUGUCAUGAGCAUGUCAAGUAAUCCAACUACUAAGCCUAUCUAGUAGUGAUUAUUCAAUCUCAACCCUGUGUAGAUUUCCAUUUCCAAUUAGGGACCCACCAAAGGUAGUCCAGCUUGUGCCGCCUAAGUGCCUGUGGUAGCCCAACAUCCCUACUCUUGGAAUGUGUCUGUCCCACUCGACCCCGUAGGCUUCUCAAUACCGCACGAGUGAACGUAGUCGCGAAGGCUAACUCCGGAGUGCUGGCUUGUAGGGAGCGACCCUCACAAGCGUGUGCGAACGAGCACAAAUGGCAAGCAAGCAUAGUCCAUGUCUGAAGUAUCCAAUCCUCAUGUCUCUAACAUGGUAUAGUCACUAGCAUCUCGAAGAUCUAGUUCUAAGUCACAAGUAAAGUUUCAGCAUUCAUUACGCCUAGUGCCCCUUGAUGACACUUAGACAAUUCAAUGUUCAACAUGUUUCCAAUCCCUCAAUGGCCCUAUUCACUAGGUUUAACCAUGUCCCGAGCUCCAUGCCGCUUGAUGACAUUAGCUCUCUAAAUCACAUAAUAACCAAGUUUGGUGCCUCUAUAAGGCAAUUUUGUUAUCUUUCACAUUUCAAUUAAACUUAAGUUUGGAUGCAUGUAUCGACGUUCAUUUACACAAUAGAAACAUGAAACCAAAUCUCGCAUAGGACGCUAAUGCAACCCUAUGUCUCUCAAGCAACUCUCUACUACAUAGAGGUCCAAAACUUCAUUACAUGUAAUAUAGGCAUUUUAAGCAUUCUAAAAUUCACAAUAAAUACAUAUAACAAGAAUAUGCAUGCUUUUUCAUUUCACAACACUUAAAUCAUCAACAAUGAGAUUUUCUCAUUGUGUGGCUAGGUCAAACCCACCGAACCGUCGCGUAGUGCCUCGAUUCGCCGAACGGAGUUGUCCACGAGUCUCCAAAUACCCUAAAAGUAUUGAGCGAAGAGAUACACAGGCAUUACGAUCAACUAUAAGAUCAAACAUUAACCAACAAGGCAAAAAGGGCUAAAAUCUCACCUAGGUGGAGAAAAACUCUCACAAGCUCCAAAAGAAGACUAAGAUCCUUCCAAUCCAACCCAAAGGAGUGCCCUAAUCCAAAAAAAAUCUAGCCUCAAAAGCCCUAGAUCAAAAAGCCCCAAAAUCAACCAUAAAAUCCCAUUCUAGGGUUCCAUAUGGUAAAAUCUACCAAAACAAGGAUCGAAGGGUAGAAUCGAAGCACUAACCUCUUUAGAUGCCUCAAAACAAGCUCCAAAUCUUCUAGGGUUGAAGAUUGGCCCACCACCAAGCCCUACAAGUAAGCUCCAAACCUUGCAAGGGUGGAAAGGAGAAAAAGGGUUGAAGCUCCAAGCCUCCUCAAGCAAGCUCCUCCUCCUCUUCUUCUCCUCCUCCUUCUUCUUCUCUCUCUAGAAAGUGUAGGAAGAGGGUGAGAAUGAGGAAAUGAGGAAGGAAAGAGGGUGGAAGGGCUAUUUAGGCCAUCCAAAGUAACAAAAUCCCAAAAGGUCCCUCAAAAAUUCAAAAUUGCAUCAGCCCGGUCUGGGCAUUUUUCGCCCAGAGGGACCGGUCUCUUCCUGCAAGGGACCGGUCUCUCGCUGCGAACCCGAGAAACCAUCGUUCGGGAACCGGUCUCUCCCCGCGCGGGACCGGUCUCUCACUGCGAGGACGCGUUCGGGGACCGGUCUCGCCCGCCAGGGACCGGUUGCCUCAGGGCUGCCACAACACUGCUCACUGGGAGACCGGUCUCUCCUUUCAGGGACCGGUCCCCGAGAGUGAAAACUCUCAGGACUCGUCCAGAACUCAGGUUUUCGAACUUUUUGGAUCGGAAAACAUUCAACGACCCUCCACCAAGUGUGGAAAAGCUCGAAACACAUCCAAUCACUCGAACCUCACAAUUUGCAAAGGUCCAGUGUGUUACAGGAAUACUGUCAACGACCCUCCAGAAUAUCUGAAAAAACUCAGAACACUCAUCAAACACUCGAACCUUGCAAUUUGCAAAGGUCUAGUGUGUUACACUGUUAUGACCCCUCCAUCUGUCUCUGGACAGGUGCCCUCCCGGCUUGGUAAUGAGUAAAAGGUGUCCCCUGGCUGGGACCCGGUGAAGCUGGUGCUGAUGCCGAUGAUGGCGUUGGCACUGGACCCCUCGGGCAGUCCGACUGGAAGUGGCCCUCCUGGCCACACAAGUAACACCUACCCCGACUGCGUCGGCACUGCCGUGGUUGAUGAGGACCACUGCAGAUCACACAGCGCGGAGCCUGUCGACGGUCCGAACCUCCAUGCUGAGUAGAAAAGCCACGUCCUCGCGACUGGCUCCAGCUCCUUGGGUGUCUCGGCGGCCUCCCAGAGUGCGUCUGGCUCGCACCCUCAGCCGCAGGCCUUUUGUCCUUACCCUUAUCCAAGCCCUCACAGCGCUCCUACAAAUCCGCCGCGCCGCUCUCCACAAUGAGCGCGUGGUUUACCACGUCUCGGUAAGUCCGGAGGUUGGAGGAUUGCACCAACCGAAAGAUCGACGGCCGAAGUCCUCGCUCGAAGAUGCGGGCCUUGUCCUCAUCGUCCCGCACAACAAAGGGCACACAGUGCAAAAGCCGAGAGAACUCCCUCUCGUACUUGGUCAUAGUCCGGUCCUCUUGGCCCAUAAUGCACAGAUCCUGCUCCAUCUUCCUCUUGACACUGUCGGGGAAGUAGUGCUACAAUAAGAGUUCCUUGAACCUCUUCCAAGAAAUCCCUGUAAGGUCGGUGUUGGGAUUAUCCUAGAUACCCAACCACCAACUAUAGGCCUCCCCGUCCAAGUGGUGAGUGGCGAGCCAAACUCUGUCCCUCUCCUCCACGAAAGUGUCGUGGAAUAACUUCUCCAAAUGCAUCAACCACUUCUCUACGAUCCAGUGGUCGGCUUUCUCUCCCUCAAAGACCCUGGGGUUACACCUCCUGAACUCGUUGAGGCGAUUCAUGAGCCGCUCCCGCUCCGCUCCCUCAACCAUCACGGAGAAAACCGUCGCUGGUACAGGCACCUGAGCUGGUGGUGCCGCGAAUACCUCCUCCCGAGGUGCUACCGCAGGUGCCGCCCGCGAAGUGUCGAGUGCAGGGGACGACCCCCUGGGUGCAACCACCUCCACCGGUGCUGGUGGUAUAGGGACCUGAGUCUCCCUGGCAGCCGUCUGCUGCAAUAAAAGGUCCUCUAGGCACUUCAUCCGCGCUUCCUGCCGGCGCGUCACAUCUGCCUGCUGCCGAGUCGUCGUCGCCUGCUGCGUCACCAAGUCAAUGAGGGCCGCAAGUUGGCUCCUCAACUCACGGACCUCGUCGGAUCCGGAGGUAGCGGAUGUCUCCAUUUCCUCAAAAGUUGCCGCGUUGUCCGCUCAAACAAACUUAGAGCGUGUUGUCGACAUUAGCACUACAACAUCAUAAAAGCGUAAGUUAAUAAAACCCACGCUAUCGCAACCCCACUCAAACAACUAACACCCAAAUCAUGCGAAAGGAAGGAAGUGUCCUUUACUACUAACCCCCGAUGUAACGUUGUCGGCCGCUAACGUAACCUUCCGCGAAGUUAGAAGCCAUACACUUCGAUCAACUCCAAUAUUUUAGAGUUAUCACAAAAUACAAUCAUGAUACUUUCGCUUACAAUCAAAUAGACCUCGUCUCUCAUGAGCCUAUUUCCUAUAGUCCAACCGGCCUAAGGUUUACUAGGUCUACUAAGACUCAACCCUAGGCUCUGAUACCAAAUUAAUCUAUCACGCCCCGGGACCCGGAGUAGGCCCGCCCGGUGCGUGCCCAGGCCCGCCAUAUGCCUGCAAAUAUAAGGCAUCUACAACAAAAGCAAUAAAUAAACCUGAGAUACAAACAUCUAGAGAUAUCAGAGCGAGUAUACAACUAGAUUCUAUCAACAAGUGGAAUAAAAAGAGACUAAACCACUGAAGUAAGAAGUAAAAAUAAUAGAACCCAAGUCUCAUGAUACAUAUAAUGGGUGGUCUCUACAAAAUGAUAUAAGUCUCUCAACCUCUCCAAAAAGAAACAAAAGAGAGGUAGACCACCUAUCGACCAAUCCCUCACUAGCUAGCCCGAGUCGAUUCAUUUCCCGCGAUCCCAAGUGUCACGCCCCAAUCCCCGCCAAUUUGGUCGGGUUCGGGUCACGUCAACAGACGCCGAAUGGACAAAGCCUCCCCUGCCCGCCCAAGGCUCUCAAACAUGUAUAAUAAAGCAAUCAAACAAUGAGAUUACAUUUAUACAAGGCUUGCUCGAGGGCAAGCAACAACGGAAGCGAAAGCUAUAAGCUAAUACAUUCACCCAUACAUAAUACUUGAUUGCUUUUGCACCAAAUAAAAGUAAACUGAACUAUUAUAUUUCUUGCUCUCAUUCAUAAUUCUUUACAUUUAGCCAUUCACCAAAUUACAUAUUGUUUUCAACUUUACAACUUUCUAAAUCAACAAAAGAAGUUGAUACAUGUAAACCAAAAGGGAAAUGACUACAAAAUGCGGAAUAGUCCCGGUGGCCGCUAUCUACGGCGCUAAACCCUUGCCUCGGUCCUCCGCCGCCCCGCUCGUGCUAGGACCUGUAGGGUUAGUGGUAUGAGAACUACAACGAAGUUCCCAGUGGGUUCGGCAACCGACCUCGCCGACUUACCCACUAGGUCUAUCCAGGCAUAAGUAUUUCAAUGGAAAAAAAGUAACCAAUACUAAUGCAACUAAUACUAUGCCUGCAAGAAAGAAGUCAGCGGAUAUAUAUAUUCAAUGCGAUAAUGGAAAUGCAUGCAUACUCAAAUCAUAAUUAAGCUUUGACUCUUACCCAAUCUUACCGGUUAACCUUGUUAACCCCAAUAACUCAUAACCCAAAUCCCUUUCUACCGGGGAGGCUCCAAGCACUACCGACCCGAGGGACCGUCUGCGGGGACCUCGCUCCCCUAGGUGACUAUUUCCGAAAACUCACCGCUUGAGGGGGGAGCUACCACCCUCAAGCCAAGAUUUAUCAUGAGUAUCGAUCGAAUCCCCAACUUGAGGAUACUUAGCCACUAGUCACAAUGCCACUUUUAUGAUAGGUUUUCUACCUAUUUGUUCAUGUCAUUCUCUAGUCAUUCUUGUCAAUGCCAAUUUUGUCUCUAUUGUCAACGUCACCUUUGUUUUCUAUUGUCCAAUCCAAGUCUCUCAAUCAUGCAAUCUCUAGGGUUCAACAUUAUAUGUCCAUCAUGGUUCCAUAGCUCUCUAUGUUCAAAUACGUUAAGAUAAAUACAUAGUGGAAACAACCAAAGUUCACAUGUAAAUUAACCCUACUAUGCAUGAAUGGCUAUAUACAAUAUGCUCAACAAAAGUGAAACAGACAUAGAAGGGAAUCCAACGAUUCCGGCGUGCACCCCCCACCUCGCGUGGUCGUGUAGGUGUAGAAUGUGACGACUCUCGAGCUUUACGAAAGCCGAUUUCGCACCCUAUAACCAAAAUAGUGCCAUAUUAGGCCUUUUGUACAUGAACUAUACUCAAACAUUUUCGUAACGUCGAACGGAGUUGCCCAACGCGUUUAUUUGACCCCCAAUUAGGUUUUUACGAGGUCAAUUUGCCCUCGAAAAAUUCCAAGGCAAAAGUCUUAAAUUUGAGCCUAAACAAUGCCCUAGUGGGAUUUCUCUUGGAUUGAUCUCUCUCUUAAGCAAAUAAUAGCUUAAAAUCACCCAAGAAGCAUUCUAAUUAAGUUUCCAACCCUUUGGAACCAACCCUAGGGCAUCUAACUCAAUCCCCAAGGUUUCAUCAUGAGAGCACCUUGAGCUCUCAUGGGUUUCAUGUUGUUCAUGGCUCAAAAGAGCUUCUAAGACCUCUAAGGAGCACAAAGCUCCAAAUCCUUAGAUCAAAACCCAAUCCCUAGAGGGAAUCUUGCAAGAACUUACCUCUAGUCCAAGCACCACCAAGCUCCUCCUUGUUGGAGAGCUCCUAGACCCACCAAAGCCGCCAAAUCCACCUUCCUCUUGCUUCUUCUUCUUUUUCUUCUCCAAGCUCUAGAGCUAGGGUUCUAGAGAGAGAAAAAGAGGGAAAUGAGGAGAGGGUGAAAAAUGGCUGUGGGAGAGAGGAGAUGGCCACAUAAAGUGUUGUGACAAUUGCACUUAGGCCCUUCCACUUCCUAUUCUGUGCACUGCCCAGACUGGGCAACUUUCGCUCUCGGGGACCGGUCUCCCCGACCAGGGACCGGUUCCCGAACGUUGGGUUUGCAGGACUUAGUCGAUUUUUCAAGUUUUUGGCUGGCUACGCAACGAGGGACCGGUCUUUCCUUCAGGGACCGGUCUCCCGAGAACCGGUCUCACUGCCAGGGACCGGUUGCCUCAGGAUUCCUGGCAGGCUACGCUUACGGGGACCAGUCUCUCCUUCAAGGACCGAUCCCCGAGAGCACAAAAUCUGGGACUUAGCCAGAUUUUGAAACUUCUCUCUCUCGGGUCCCUUUGCACUAUGUAUAGGAUCCAACGCACUUAGGAUCUUUACCAACUCGUUCCACUCCGCGUUUUGCUCGUUUCGACGGAACUCGGCACAAUUUACGAGGGACGUGAUAUGUUACAUUCUCCACCCCUAAAAUUUAGUUUCGUCCGCGAAACUACUAAGUUUGAAAUUUAGAUUUCAUACCUCACUCCGAAUCUUUGAAGAGGUGAGGAUAACGCUCCCUCGUUUCGUUUUCGAGCUCCCACGUUUCUUCCCGGUCAUCAUGUUCGCACCAAUGAAUUUUAACAUACGAAAUUUCACGGUUCCGUAGUUUUCUCACUUCCCGAUCUACGAUGUAAGCCGGGAACUCCUCGUAUGUCAUAUUCUUCUGAAGCUCUAUCGGCAUAUACGAGAGAACAUGAUCUGGAUCGUAAACAUACUUGCGGAGUUGGGAUACAUGGAAUACAUUAUGUACUCAGGCGAGGCUAGGUGGUAAUGCCAACCUCUAGGCCACCGCGCCAACUCGUUCCAAGAUCUCGAAGGGUCCGAUAUAGCAGGGACUCAGCUUCCCGCGAACACCGAACCGCUUAACUCCUCGCAUUGGUGAUACUUUUAGAAAUACGCGGUCUCCAACCGCGAACUCGAUAUCCUUUCGUCGCUUGUCGGCAUAACUCUUGUGCCUUGAUUGUGCUGUCACCAAUCUUUGUCGGGCAAGACGGACUUUCUCUUUCGCCUCCCGAACCACGUCAGGGCCAAGCACCAUCUUCUCGCCCACAUCGCUCCAGUGUAUUGGCGAGCAACAUUUCCUUCUAUACAGGGCCUCGAAUGGCGCCAUCGCAAUGCUUUCUUGAUAGCUAUUAUUGUAUGCGAAUUCCGUCAUCGGUAAGUGAUCAUGCCAUCCGCUCUUAUAAUCGAGUACACACACUCGAAGCAUAUCCUCAAGUAUUUGAAUAGUCCUUUCUGAUUGACCGUCACUUUGAGGAUGAAAUGCCGUACUAAAGUCGAGCCGUGUGCCCAAUGCAUCUUGCAAGCUCCUCCAAAAUUGAGAUAUGAACCUAGGGUCUCGAUCCGAUACAAUAGAUGUCGGAACCGCAUAAAGUCUCACCACCUCGUCAAGGUAUACUUGGGCUAACUUGUCCCCCGACCAAGUAGUGUGGAUCGGCAAAAAGUGUGCCGAUUUUGUGAACCGGUCCACAACUACCCAAAUCGCGUCAUGUCCACCUUGGGAUCUAAGCAAACCCGUCACAAAAUCCAUUGCGACGUUUUCCCAUUUCCACACGGGUAUAGGUAGACUUUGUAAUUUUUCCGCCGAAAAUCGGCGUUCCGCCUUUACUUGUUGGCACGUGAGAUAUUGCGCCACGAACUCUCCUAUAUCUUUCUUCAUGCCCGGCCACCAAUAAUGCAAUUUCAGGUCUCGAUACAUUUUGGUGCCGCCCGAGUGAAUGCUAUAGGGAGAUUGAUGCGCUUCUUGCAUAAUCGCCCUCCGAAGAUUGUCGUCCUUGGGCACGCACCAACGAUCCCGAUAUCGUAGUGCGCUAUCGGUCCCAAUGCCAAACUCAUCGGCACUGUCGCUCUCAACUUUGCCCCGCACCUUUUGGAGAAAUUCAUCUUACGUUUGCAAUUCUUUGAUCUUCUCCAACAAGGUCAGUCGCACAACCAAUGUGGCAAGCAUUGCCGGCACUCCCGGCGCCACCACUUCUAGACCAAACCGCUGCAUCUCUUUUCGCAAAGCCGGUUGGGGUGUAAUUUCCGUCGCCAAAUUCUCCGCCGACUUUCUACUUAGAGCAUCAGCCACGAUGUUCGCUUUCCCGGGGUGGUAGAGAAUCAUGACAUCAUAAUCUUUGAGCAACUCUAACCACCGCCGCUGUCGCAAGUUUAACUCCUUUCGGGUGAACAAGUAUUUGAGACUUUUAUGGUCGAUAUAAAUCUCACAAUGUUCCCUAUACAAGUAAUGCCUCCACAAUGCGUGACCUCUAUGCCAUGAGCUAGUGCCAAUGAUGCUGUUAUGAAUGACUGAGAUGCACCUGUGUCAAAUAUGGCUCUAGUUCUAGUGCCUCUGAUAAGAAUAAUACCUGCCACAACGUCGUCGGGAACGGUAAUCGGCGGCUCCUCCACCUGAGUGGCAAAUACCUACCCACUAGGUGCUCGAGAGGCUUCCGGUUGACGAGGCGCCGAUGAUCGUCCAGCAGAUACGGCGGGUGGCAGUCCCGCCAGUUGUAACUGAGUGUACUGAACUGAAGCUAAUGACGGAGCUGGGGAUGCGCUGCCCGGGCACUCUCGGCCUAUGUGUCCUAGUUGGCCGCAUCGGUAACACCGUCCCUCCCGCUGUGGGAAAGUAGUAACUCGGUGGUCUCCGCCACAUAUCACGCACGGGUAGGUAGUCUGGCCCUGAGUCUGACUCCUACCUCCCCGCCCCUGUGAUCGCUGAGGUCGCGGGGGUCGCUUUGAACUUGAUUGCCCGGCCGAUCCACCAGUCGGUCGCUUCUUGGACCUAUCUUUUUCCCCGUCCUUCUCAAAAGCCUCGCGCUCAUCUCGCACAAUGGCAUUCCCGCGCUCUACCCAAAGCACGCGGUCAAGAACCUCUUCGUAGGUCUUCAAGCGGAAUGCAUGAACAACCUUGAAAAUCUCGGGUCGCAACCCGCGCUCGAAUGCCUCCGCCCGGUCCCUAUCACCAUGAACCAAGCUCGGCACGCAAUUGAUGAGGUGCGUGAACUCCCGUUCAUACUCCCGCACCGUGCGACUUCCCUGCCUUAGCCUUCGAAAAUCCUCCUUGAUUUUUCUUUUGUCGCUCUCAAGAAAAUACUCCAUAAGUAGCAUCUCCCGAAACGCCUCCCAAGUAACAGAAGCGUGCUCCAACGAAUGAUUUUUCUUCACUUGAUUCCACCACAACCGAGCCGACCCAUCGAAACCGUUAGCCGCAAGGUGAACUUUAUCCUUCUCAAGUGUGUAGAUAUCCUCGAACAAUGCCUCCAUCGCGGCUAGCCAAUUCUCCGUCACCCACGGAUCCUUCACGUCACCGUUAAAGGUCGGAGGGUUGAACCGCUUGAAUGCCGUCAGCGCCGCCAACAUACGCUCCUGCUCAGCCUCAAGUACAUCGGGAAUAGGAGCCGAUGAACCCGAUGCCGUCGAAGGAAUAGCCGUCACCGGUGCUGCCGCCACCGCAGGAGGUGGUGCUAUAGGAGCAGCAGGCGCGGGCGGAUCCCUCGGCACAGAUGCCGCCGCCGCCGCCUAUCGCGCCAUCAUCUCGCGGAGCUGUCCAAUCUGCUCCCCUUGAAGCUGCAUAGCCCCGGCCAAUGCCGCUACCUGGGCUCGCAGCUCGCACACUUCAUCCGACCCCGUCUGCUGGGGCACUUCAUCAGGUAGUGCCGAAGCGGCUCUACGCGUGUAGCGUCUCGGGGACAUUGUUCCUGAAAUGCAUCACACGCAUUAGCACUCAACACACGUGACUCUUACACGUUCCAAAUAACUACCCAAUUAAGCGAAAGCAAUAGGCAGAAUCAUUUCCACUCUCGUUGUUAUGUGGUCGGCCGCCCCACAAAGUCCCUUAAGUAGUCAUCAAUUAAGCCUUCUAAUCCAUCUCUACUUCCUUCUAGAGAAGUGUUAUCGUUAACCCAAUCAUUCGCGUUCGCAUAAGCCAAAUCCACGUUAAACGUUUCCUAAGCUGCUAAGGUCUCCAAUUCCUACGGUUCCUAGGUCAUUCCUAGACUUUUGCUUUCCAAUUCUCUCUGAUACCAUUAUAUCUGUCACGCCCCAAUCCCCGCCAAUUUGGUCGGGUUCGGAUCACGUCAACAGACACCGAACAGACAGAGCCUCCCCUGCCCGCCCAAGGCUCUCAAACAUGUAUAAUAAAGCAAUCAAACAAUGAGAUUAGCAUUUAUACAAGGCUUGCUCGAGGGCAAGCAACAACGGAAGCGAAAGCUCUAAGCUAACACAUUCACCUAUACAUAAUACUUGAUUGCUUUUGCACCAAAUAAAAGUAAACUGAACUAUUACAUUUCUUGCUCUCAUUCAUAAUUAUUUACAUUUAGCCAUUCACCAAAUUACAUAUUGUUUCCAACUUUACAACUUUCUAAAUCAACAAAAGAAGUUGAUACAUGUAAACCAAAAGGGAAAUGACUACAAAAUAUGGAAUAGUCCCGGUGGCCGCUAUCUACGGCGCUAAGCCCUUGUCUCGGUCCUCCGCCACCCCGCUCGUGCUAGGACCAGUAGGGUUAGUGGUGUGAGAACUACAACGAAGUUCCCAGUGGGUUCGGCAACCGACCUCGCCGACUUACCCACUAGGUCUAUCCAGGCAUAAGUAUUUCAAUGGAAAGAAAGUAACCAAUACUAAUGCAACUAAUACUAUGCCUGCAAGAAAGAAGUCAGCGGAUAUAUAUAUAUAUAUAUAUAUAUAUAUAUAUAUAUAUUCAAUGCGAUAAUGAAAAUACAUGCAUGCUCAAAUCAUGAUUAAACUUUGGCUCUUACCCAAUCAUACCGGUUAACCUUGUUAACCCCAAUAACUCAUAACCCAAACCCUUUUUACCGGGGAGGCUCCAAGCACUACCGACCCGAGGGACCGUCUGCGGGGACCUCGCUCCCCUAGGUGACUAUUUCCAGAAACUCACCGCUUGAGAGAGGAGCUACCACCCUCAAGCCAAGACUUAUCAUGAGUAUCGAUCGAAUCCCCAACAAUACUUAGCCACUAGUCACAAUGCCACUUUUAUGAUAGGUUUUCUACCUAUUUGUUCAUGUCAUUCUCUAGUCAUUCUUGUCAAUGCCAAUUUUGUCUCUAUUGUCAAGGUCACCUUUGUUUUCUAUUGUCCAGUCCAAGUCUCUCAAUCAUGCAAUCUCUAGGGUUCAACAUUACAUGUCCAUCAUGGUUCCAUAGCUCUCUAUGUUCAAAUACGUUAAGAUAAAUACAUAGUGGAAACAACCAAAGUUCACAUGUAAAUUAACCCUACUAUGCAUGAAUGGCUAUAUACAAUAUGCUCAACAAAACUGAAACAGACAUAGAAGGGAAUCUAACGAUUCCGGCGUGCACCUCCUACCUCGCGUGGUCGUGUAGGUGUAGAAUGUGACGACUCCCGAUAUUUACGAAAGCCGAUUUCGCGCCCUAUAACUAAAAUAGUGCCAUAUUAGGCCUUUUGUACAUGAACUAUACUCAAACAUUUUCGUAACGUCAAACGGAGUUGUCGAACGCGUUUAUUUGACCCCCAAUUAGGCUUUUACGAGGUCAAUUCGCCCUCGAAAAAUCCUAGGGCAAAAGCCCCAAAUUUGAGCCCUAACAAUGCCCUAGUGGGAUUUCUCUUGGAUUGAUCUCUCUCUUAAGCAAAUAAUAGCUUAAAAUUACCCAAGAAGAAUUCUAAUUAAGUUUCCAACCCUUUGGAACCAACCCUAGGGUAUUUAACUCAAUCCCCAAGGUUUCACCAUGAGAGCUCCUUGAGCUCUCAUGGGUUUCAUAUUGUUCAUGGCUCAAAAGAGCUUCUAAGACCACUAAGGAGCACAAAGCUCCAAAUCCUUAGAUCAAAACCCAAUCCCUAGAGGGAAUCUUGCAAGAACUUACAUCUAGUCCAAGCUCCACGAAGCUCCUCCUUGUUGGAGAGCUCCUAGACUUAAAAAUUCACCUUCCUCUUGCUUCUUCUUCUUCUUCUCCAAGCUCUAGAGCUAGGGUUCUAGAGAGAGAAAGAGAGGAAAAUGAGGAGAGGGUGAAAAAUGGCUGUGGGAGAGAGGGGAUGGCCACAUAAAGUGUUGUGACAAUUGCACCUAGGCCCCUCCACUUCCUAUUCUGUGCACUGCCCAGACUGGGUAACUUUCGCUCUCGGAGACCGAUCUCCCCGACCAGGAACCGGUUCCCGAACGUUGGGUUUCCAGGACUUAGCCGAUUUUCCAAGUUUUUGGCUGGCUGCGCAGCGAGGGACCGGUCUUUCCUUUAGGGACCGGUCUCCCGAGGACCUGUCUCACUGCCAGGGACCGGUUGCCUCAGGAUUCCUGGCAGGCUACGCGUACGGGGACCGAUCUCUCCUUCAAGGAUUAGUCCCCGAGAGCACAAAAUCUGGGACUUAGCCAAAUUUUGAAACUUCUCUCUCUCGGGUCCCUUUGCACUAUGUACAGGCUCCAACGCACUUAGAGCCUUUACCAACUCGUUCCACUCCAUGUUCCGCUCGUUUCGACGAAACUCGGCACGAUUUACGAGGGACGUGAUAUGUUACACCAAGCCUCUCUCGGAGUGGAAGGCUCUGAAGAAAAUAUAAAACAGGGGACGUGAGAACUAUAAUUUAUAGUUCCCAGUAGGCAAUUACUGAUCUUUAGUAAAUGCACCACUAGGUCCAAAUCAUGAGCAGAUAUGAAUAACUGAAAUAACUGCAGAAAGGAAGCAUAUAAUAAAAUGCUAUUUUACUAUGCCACAAAUAUACAUGAUAUGAAUAUGGAGUACAUCUACUCUAUCAUGAUCCAAUAUGCCAAAAUAUAUUUAGUAUGCUCUAUCACGGCACCCAAGUGUACUAAAAUGCAAUAAACAAUACUAUCAAGUAUACUACAUGUCCAAGUGUCCAAUACAUAUCUAGUAUGCACUAUCAUAGCGACCAAGUAUACUAUAUGUCCCAAUAUCCACUGGAUCCAACUACGAUAUACUAUCAAGUAGUGAUUAUUACAUAAAUGACUCCGUGUCGAUUUUCAUUUCCAAUUAAGGACCUACACGAGGUAGUCCAGCUUGUGCUGCCUAAGUGCCAGUGGUAGCUCCAGCAUUCCCCCUCGAGGAAUGAGUCUAACCCUCUAGGCCCCUGUAGACUUUCCAAUACAGUACGAGCGAGCAUAAGUCGCGUAGGCUAACUUCGGAGUGCCGACUUGUAGGGAGCGACCGUCACAAGUAUGUGUGAAUGAGUACAAAUGGCAAGCAAGCAUAGUCAUCGUCACAACGAUCCGGUCAUCAUGGCUCAACCAUGUAAAUGAUCGCUAGUAACCCAUAGGUCUAAUCCAAUGUCCCAAGUAAAGAUUUGACCAUUUAUUAUGUCCAAUGCCCCUUUAUGGCAUUAUAUCUCACUAUGCCCAAGUCUUGUUCCAACACUAAUGCCACUUCAUGACAUUAAGUUUACUAAGUCCGCACAUAUUCCAAGCCUAAUGCCCCUUUAUGACAUUAGCUUGCUAAGUCCAAUUCCAAACCCAAUGUCUCUUUAUGACAUUAGCUUACUAUACCAAUUCCAAGCCCAAUGUCUCUUUAUGACAUUAGCUUACUAUACCAAUUCCAAGCCCAAUGCUUUUUAUGACAUUAGCUUACUAUGCCAAUUUCAAGUCGAAUGUCCCUUUAUGAUAUUAGCUUACUAUACCAAUUCCAAGCCCAAUGUCUCUUUAUGACAUUAGCUUACUAUACCAAUUCCAAGCCCAAUGUCUCUUUAUGACAUUAGCUUAUAAUACCAAUUCCAAGCCCAAUGGCCCUUUAUGACAUUAGCUUACUAUACCAAUUUCAAGCCCAAUGUCUUUUUAUGACAUUAACUUACUAUACCAAUUAUGAGUCUAAGUCCAAGAAUACAUUGCACUUGUCAUUUUCACUAUAUGAAAUAUGAUCCAAAUCCACACAUAGGAGUGCUAUCCAUAGGUGUAAUGUCACGACCCGCGACCCCCGCCUAUUUGGCCGGAUCGCGGCGCCGCCGACAGACCGCCGAACGGACAGAGUUUCCUCUGUACGUCCUAGGCGUCGCAACAAGUACAAUACAAAGGUUCCAACCAGGAACAGUACUUGGCAAACAGAUUGCAUCAGGAAGGUAUCAAUCAACAUAAACACAACCUAAGUUAUUACAUUCAUUCAUUUGACAUUCAUUUUACAUCACAAUUGCUAACUGAUUUCCUCCAAAUACAAUCUAGAAUAUUACAACACUUUUCUUAUUUACAAUUUGAUACAUUCUUUUAAACUUAAUCCCCCGAGCUAGACUGCCAACACUGGUACUGCUACCUCUGGUCUCUGGGUAGGGCACUAUCUAUGGAGCUACGCCCUUACCUCGCGCCGCCGCGCUGCUCACGUGUGAACCUGAAAACCCCAAAACAACGUAGGGUGAGAACCAACUCCAUGGUUCCCAGUGGGUACGGCCACCCAAGGAAAAUGCUCGUCCGACAGGUUCAAAGGAGGCAACUGCAGGUUAGCUUAAUAAACAGAUAGAUAGAUAUUUAACUAUGCAAUUAAUAAAACCAUACCUUGCCUCGCAAUUUUAACAAUGACAUGCUAUAUGUAAUUCAUGCAAGAAUAUUCUACCAUAAGUAAACUUUGUUGAUUCUACUUAUAUUUUGUUAUCAUACUCAGAUCCAACAAAUCUCUAAGGUGUCAUUUACCUGAUUGAAGCUAGCCACCCGACUCGGUCUUGAGUCAAUCAUCCGCGGAAUGCCGCGCUAAGCCCGGCUCGAGGUGAAGGACGUCUCACUUGCACUUAAGCCUUAGAUCCACUCAACUGGAGUACCAAAUCCACUCUAUUGGGAAUUUAUAUGCUUAUCACCCAAUUUAUGGCUAACCCGCAGGUUCGCCUACUGCUCACUAGCCAUCUCGCCAGUAGGGAGGGUUACUCACACUACGACCCGAGACCGUCGGGCGGGACCCCAAAUAGGUAGUCCCUAACGUGACCACUCCGGAGCGCACUACUUGUGUGGGGCUUCCACUACAAGAUUUAACCGACCGUGAGCAUGAUCCAAUCCUCUCACACGAGGAUACCCUGUCAACUAGGGUCAUCAAUCCCUCAGGAACUCAACUGUCUCUAUGACUAUGUCUCAAGUGUCUUUUGCAAUAGAUUCAUCAACACUAAGUUCAUGUACCAUUCUUUUUCAUCAUAGGCCCUUGACACUAGGUUCAUUGCAACCUAUGUUCACUAAUACUAGGUUCCUUGUCAUUCUUAUCCACCUAGGUUCACGACACUAGGUUCAUAUCCGACCUAUGUUUAAAACACUAGGUUCAUAUGUCAUUCCUGUUCGACCUAUGUUCCAUAACACUAGGUCCUUGUCAUUCUUAUCCACCUAAGUUCACGACGCUAGGUUCAUGCCACUCGAUCUAUUGGAUACCUAAUUGUCCAUAUCGAGGUUCUAUAAUCAUAUGUACUUUAGCAUGCAUCUUUUCAUAAUAUUAAUAUGCCAUGCCCUCUAACAUGCAUUCUCUAAGCAUACAAUUUAAUAUGCAAUUACCAACUAGCAUGCAUUCACAUAAUAUUAACUUGCAUACACAUUUCUCAUUAUGCCAUUAACCAUUAUCUAACAUGAUCUCAUGUUCUCUAGCAUGCUCUCAUACAUGUCAUCAUGAAUCUAUAGUGCUAACAUGUUCAUACAUUUAACAGUUUCUCGUAUGCUUGACAUUCAUUAAUAUGUUCAUGUUCUUUAGCA
rnacentral:lncRNA from 1 species